AUGCCCCCUACGGCCCUCUGUCUUCCUGUGGUUGUGGCCACUCUGCUGUGGGGAGCAUCCCCUGUCAGGGGACUCAUUCGAGCGACUUCGGACCACAGUGGCAGCAUGGAAUUUGCAGACCUCCCAGCUCUCUUUGGGGCUGCCUUGAGUCAGGAAGGACUUAAGGGGUUUCUCGUGGAGGCUCAGCCAGCCAACGCCUGCAGCCCCAUUGCCCCACCUCCCCCAGCCCGGGCCAACGGAUCAGUUUUCAUUGCACUGCUUCGAAGAUUCGACUGCAAAUUUGACCUCAAGGUCCUACAUGCUCAGAAGGCCGGGUAUGGUGCAGCCGUGGUCCACAAUGUGAAUUCCAAUGAACUGCUGAACAUGGUGGGGAGUAACGAAGAAGUCCAGCAGCAGAUCUGGAUCCCUUCUGUGUUCAUCAGCGAAAAGAGCUCUAAGUACCUGCGUGCCUUCUUCAUCUACCAGCAGGGAGCUCAGGUGCUUCUGGUCCCUGACAGUGUAUUCCUCUUGACCUAUUUCUUCAUCCUUUUCUAUGGGAUUUUGGCAAUGUUCAUUUUGGGCAUGGGAGCCAUAGUGAUAGUUCAUUGUAUCCAGUUCCAGAAUCAGCACUGGCAGAAUCGGCUGACCAAAGAGCAACUGAAACAGAUUCCUACCCACGACUAUCGCAAGGGAGACCAGUAUGAUGUGUGUCCCAUCUGCCUGGACGAGUAUGAGGAUGGGGACAAGCUGAGGGUCCUCCCCUGCGCUCAUGCCUAUCACUGCCGCUGUGUGGACCCGUGGCUCACUCAGACCAAGAAGACGUGCCCUAUUUGUAAGCAGCCUGUUUGCCAGAAUCUUGGGGAGGAGGAGCAGGAGGAAGGAACUCAGGUGCAAGUGGGCCACGAGCAAAGGGACCUGAGAAGCCUCCCUGCCUCAGAACGGACCUCACUUCUGGGCUCCAGCACCGUACUUCCCACUAACUUUGGCUCCUUAGCCCCCGCCCCCUUUGUGUUUCUUGGGUCUUCAGCAGAUCCCUCAUACUCUCCAUCCUCCUCAUCCUCUUCCUCUUCCGCUGUCAAUCUCAUCUGA
rnacentral:lncRNA from 1 species